UGAGAUCUAUAGAAAAUGAAUAAUUAGGGUAACUUUACUAUAACCAAUGAAAUAUUGACACAUCAUUACUUUUAGAAUAAAUUACACGAAUGGUCCCUGGUUUAGAAUAUUUAACCCUAAUCUACCAACCUUCAUAUUUUAUCAACUUGACCCGUACCACACAUUUAAAACUUUCUUUCUCUCUCUUUCUCUCUGCUACUUCGCCAGAAACCACCGCAAUCGUCACCGUCAUCGACGGAAAUCGCCGCUGCCACCGCCACCAUUUACGCCAGAAACCACCGCCACUACAACUAUUUUCUUAUUUCUCUCUCUUUCCUCUUCGUAUCUUUAGGCAACCACCACUAGUACACCCUUUUCAUCUCCUUCAACUACAAACAGCAACCACCCAAAACUAAAUAAAACCAGCAUCUAAAAAGUCAACCAAAACCCAAUCAAACCAAAAUAUGAUACCUGUAAUAAGCACCAAACUGAUACUAAAGCCGAGUUUAACCAAAAUAUGAUUACAUAAGAUCAAGGAAAUGAAAAUCUUGGAUUCGAAAAGUAGAUACCAAAUUGAUAACAGAAACCAUUCAACUUAUGCUAAGAAUCAGAUCAUGAACAGUAAUCAAUAGCAAUCAAAAACAAAAUCGAUCAAUGGAGUACGAAAUCAAAAACACCAAUUCAUCAGUUCGAAAAGUAGUUUCCAAGAAAAGGUUUGAUAGUGCCUUAUCUAUUUAAAACACUGUAAUUAACACUAAUCCAAAAGAAAAUAUCUCAUAUCGAACAUGGAAAACAUUCAGAUUCUAGAAUAAUUCCUAAUCAAAGAUCAUAAUAUGAAAUAAUCAUGAACAAAAUCAUCAAUUCCAAAUAGCAAACCAAAAUCAGGAACAAACUAGAAUUGGUUUUAAAAAUAACAAUGAUCUCGAGAUGAAAGAAAAAAAAUCUGAUCCAUUACAUUUUCUGGAAAUCACAGAGCAAAUGAAAAAAACCCACCAGCUCUCAUUUUCUGUUAAUCAAAGGGUUCGUCAUUCGUGGUGAGGAAGGGAAGGCUAGAGCCGGAGAUGUAAGAGCCAGAGUUUUUUAGUUUGUGAAAGCAUAAGGCAGAGAUGUGUGUGUGUUGUGUCUAGAGUGGCUGAGAUGUGGGCGAUGUAGUCGGAGGCGGAGAAGUUAAUGUGGAAAUCGGAGAAGUCAGUGUGAAUGCCAUAGAUGGUGUGGGGGUCGCUGAUUGAAUGGUGUUACGGGGCCGCGGAUAUGAAACGAAAUCGAUGAAAGAACCAAAGAUUUGGAAAAUCAAACCGUAUAUCUAAAGAAUCAAACCAAAACUUUGAAAAAACAAACCGAAGAUGGAGGCUUCAAGGAGCUGGUGGUGGCUUCAACGCCAGUUGCAUUUCACAAUUAGGGCUUUUGCGCCUUUAAUCUGAGUGACGAACAUAUCAAUUUCUUGAUUCAUUCGAUCCAAUACAUUAGUUAGUUUCUCGAUUUCAUUGAAGGUCGGCAUGAUUCUCGUGUUUUUUUCUAGUAAUCGAUGUGGGAGGAAGACGGUGACGAUGGACGAGACCACCGGUUUCAAAGGAAGCUAGUACGUAUAAAUUGGAAUGACAUUGAUGGGUUUAUUUGAUUUAGGUUUAGUGUUAGAUUUGAUUUUGGGCUGGCUUUUGGUUUAUAAUUUUUAUUUUUCGACUACACAUGCCAAUUAACCUAAACUAUAAGGAUGAUUUGUGUAACUCAAAUAAAAUGGACAUGUUGGUUACAUCAUAUUGCCC
rnacentral:lncRNA from 1 species